rnacentral:lncRNA from 1 species
AAAGGACAAAUAACCUCGAUUCUAAGUUGGACCGAGCGCUGCACUUCAGUAGCAGGACCCAGGAGUCUAAUUUCUCUUUCCAGAUGGGCGAAGGCCAGGCAAGUUCCUGUUCAUACUGGGGGAGAGGAUCACAAUUCUCCCACAUACAGCAGUGAAUAGAAUUGAAGCCAGAAAUAAAGAUCUGCAGCAUCCUGGGAGACAGCAAAAUAAAAAUCAGGCAGUCUUUCCAAGUGUGUGCCCUGUCAAAAUAUGCCAGGCAUUGAAGAAAUCCAAGAAUAAGACUUUAGGACAGAAAUUGAAGAAACCAAAUGACAGCGGCCAAGUUCAAAGCAGAGGUUGAAGACAAAGUCUGGUGGUACUUUGCGAGUUUUUAGGACGCAUUUGGCUUCAGGGCAAAGUAGGGAGGAAAGUAGGUACAAUCUAACAUGGGCAUAAUUAUUUUUCCACAUUCCAGUACAUCCUGCCACUUGCCAGAGAGAUUGGUUCCUUC